GCCCCGGGCUGGGCGGGGAGGCGGCGGAUCCGGUCUGUCCCGGGCGCGUCUAGAGCCCCGGGUUGGUGCAGGGGGUGCGGGCUGCCAGAUAGGUCGCUGUGCCCGCGGCAGCAUGGUGGGUGCGGAGAAGGAGCAGAGCUGGAUUCCCAAGAUCUUCAAGAAGAAGACGUGCACGACUUUCGUCGCUGACCCCACAGAUUCGGGGGGGACCUUGUGCCAGUGUGGGCAUCCCCGGGGUGCCCACCCAUCCGUGGCUGUGGAGGAUGCAUUCGGGGCAGCCGUGGUGACCGUAUGGGACAGUGACUUGCACACCACGGAGAAGCCCACAGAUGCCUUCGGGGACCUGGACUUCCUGGGUGCUGGCCGCAAGAUCAGCAAUUUCCUCCGGCUCUCGGACCGCACGGAUCCAGCUACAGUUUAUACUCUGGUCACCAAAGUCUGGGGCUUCCGGGCCCCGAACCUGGUGGUGUCAGUGCUGGGGGGGUCAGGGGGCCCCAUCCUCCAGACCUGGCUGCAGGACCUGCUGCGACGCGGGCUGGUGCGGGCUGCCCAGAGCACAGGGGCCUGGAUUGUCACCGGAGGGCUGCACAAAGGCAUCGGCCGGCAUGUCGGUGCUGCUGUGCGGGACCACCAGACGGCCAGCACUGGGGGCAGCAAGGUGGUGGCCAUGGGCGUGGUCCCCUGGGGCGUGGUGCGGAAUAGAGACACCCUCACCAACCCCAAGGGCUCGUUCCCCGCAAGGUACCGGUGGCGCGGAGACCCGGAGGAUGGGGUCCAGUUCCCUCUCGACUACAACUACUCAGCCUUCUUCCUGGUGGACGACGGCACACACGGCCGCCUGGGAGGCGAGAACCGCUUCCGCUUGGGCUUCGAGUCCUACCUGGCGCAACAGAAGACGGGAGUGGGAGGGACUGGCAUUGACAUCCCUGUCCUCCUCCUCCUCAUUGAUGGUGAUGAGAAGAUGUUGAAGCGGAUAGAAAACGCCACCCAGGCUCAGCUCCCCUGCCUCCUGGUGGCUGGAUCUGGGGGAGCUGCAGACUGCCUGGCAGAGAUUCUGGAGGACACUCUGGCUCCAGGGAGUGGCGGGGGCAGGCGACGUGAACCCCGAGAUCUGAUUAAGCGUUUCUUCCCCAAUGGGGACCCUGAGGUCCUGCAGGCCCAGGUGGAGAGGAUCAUGACCCGGAAGGAGCUGCUGACAGUCUAUUCAACUGAUGAUGGCCCUGAGGAAUUUGAGACCAUCGUUUUAAGGGCCCUUGUCAAGGCCUGUGGGAGCUCUGAAGCCUCAGCUUACCUGGAUGAGUUGCGUUUGGCUGUGGCUUGGAACCGUGUGGACAUUGCCCAGAGUGAACUCUUCCGGGGGGACAUCCAAUGGCGGUCCUUCCACCUGGAGGCCUCCCUCAUGGACGCCCUCCUGAACGACCGGCCGGAGUUCGUGCGCUUGCUUAUCUCCCAUGGCCUCAGCCUGGGCCACUUCCUGACCCCGGUGCGCCUGGCCCAGCUCUACAACGCAGCGCCCCCCAACUCACUUAUCCGCAACCUUCUGGACCAAGUGUCACACGGUGGAAGCACCAAAGCCCCAGCCCUUAAACCCUCUGCGGAGCUACAGUUUCCUAAGGUGGGGCAGGUGCUGCGCAUGCUACUGGGGAAGACGUGCGCGCCGACGUUCCCCGCUGGGGGCACCCGCCGGAGCGACAGCAGCAGAGAGAACUCGUUUAUGCUGUCAGACAAGGCUGCCUCGGAACUGAUGGAAGCUGUCCCCGGGCAGGCCCCCUGGAGCGACCUGCUCCUCUGGGCACUGCUGCUCAACAGGGCUCAGAUGGCCUUGUACUUCUGGGAGAUGGGUUCCAAUUCUGUGGCCUCAGCUCUUGGGGCCUCUUUGUUGCUGCGAGUGUUGGGGCGCCUGGAGACUGAGGCUGAGGAAGCCGCGCGGAGGAAGGAACUGGCGGCCAAGUUCGAGGGGUUGGGUGUUGACCUCUUUGGAGAAUGCUACCGCAGCAGCGAGGAACGAUCCGCCCGCCUGCUCCUUCGGCGCUGCCCACUCUGGGGUGAUGCCACUUGCCUGCAGCUCGCCACACAGGCGGAUGCCCGUGCCUUCUUUGCCCAGGAUGGGGUACAGUCUCUGCUGACACAGAAGUGGUGGGGGGAGAUGGACAGCACCACGCCCAUCUGGGCCCUGGUUCUUGCCUUCUUUUGCCCCCUACUCAUCUACACCGACCUCAUCACCUUCAGGAAGUCAGAUGAGGAGCCCACGCAGAAGGACCCGAUGCUUGACGUGGAUGGCGACAUCAGUGGGGAAGGGCCUGUCGAGCCCACAGACCCCCCUGAGAAGGUGCCCUUGGGUGUAUUGAGGCCACCCAGACACAGGGACUGCUGUGGGGGGUGCCUGCCGCGCCUGCGCCGCUGGCCGCAGUUCUGGGGGGCGCCAGUGACAGCCUUCAUGGGCAACGUGGUCAGCUACCUCCUCUUCCUGCUGCUGUUUGCGCGCGUGCUGCUCAUCGACUUCGAGCCCGAGAGGCCCAGCGUCCUGGAGCUGCUGCUCUACUUCUGGGCCUUCACCCUGCUCUGCGAGGAGUUCCGCCAGGGCCUGGGCAGCGGCCUGGGCAGCCUGGCCAUGGGGGGACCCGGGACAGACUCCCACCGGGCCCCACUGCGCCGCCGCCUGCACCUCUACCUCUCCGACUCCUGGAACCAGUGCGACCUGGUGGCCCUCACCUGCUUCGUCCUGGGCGUGGGCUGCAGGCUGACCCCGGGCCUGUAUGACAUGGGCCGCACUGUCCUCUCCCUUGACUUCAUGAUCUUCACGCUGAGGCUGCUGCACAUCUUCACAGUCAACAAACAGCUGGGGCCCAAGAUCGUCAUCGUGAGCAAGAUGGUGAAGGAUGUGUUCUUCUUCCUCUUCUUCCUCGGCGUGUGGCUGGUUGCCUACGGGGUGGCCACUGAGGGGCUCCUUAGGCCCCAGGACCGUAGCCUCCCGAAUAUCCUGCGCCGCGUCUUCUACCGGCCCUACCUGCAGAUCUUUGGGCAGAUCCCUCAGGGGGAGAUGGACGGUCCCGGUCCCUCUGGCUCCAUCUCUGACUGUCUCCCUUCACAGUGGCCCUCAUGGAGCACAGCAACUGUUCACUGGGGCAGGGCUCAUGGGGGCACCCCGAAGGGAAGCUCUCAGGCAAAUGCGUCUCGCUUUAUGCCAACUGGCUGGUGGUGCUCCUCCUUGUUGUCUUCUUGCUGGUGGCCAACAUCCUGCUGCUCAAUCUGCUCAUUGCGAUGUUCAGCCAUACCUUCGGCAAAGUGCAGGGCAACAGCGACCUCUACUGGAAGGCGCAGCGCUACAGCCUCAUCCGGGAAUUUCACUCUCGGCCCGCACUGGCCCCGCCUCUCAUUUUCAUAUCGCACGUGCGCUCCCUCAUCCAUCGACUUCGCAGGCGCCGGGCGCGCUUGCCACCGUCCCCAGACGCCGAGCAUUUUCGGGUCCACCUCUCGAAGGAAGCGGAGCGGAGGCUGUUGACAUGGGAGUCAGUGCAAAAGGAAAAUUUCUUGCUGGCGCGUGCUCGGGACAAACGGGAAAGCAACUCCGAACGUCUGAAGCGCACGUCGCAGAAGGUGGACACAGCACUGAAGCAGCUGAGACAGAUCCGCGAGUACGAGCAGCGUCUGAAAGGGCUGGAACAGGAGGUCCAGCACUGUACCCGUGUCCUGGGCUGGGUAGCUGAGGCCCUGAGCCGUUCUACAUUGCUGCCCCCAGGGGGACCAGCCCCCCCAAUUCCACCUGGGCCCAAAGACUGAGCCCUGCUGGUGGACGUCAAGGAGUAGCGGCCAGAGGGAGUUUUGCUCCCAGAGUAAGGCCUAGCAGGUCCUUGACUCCUGCACCUGACGACCUUGUCUUUGAGGUGAACCGGAUGCCCGUGAACUGCAACCUUGGAUGCUGUCGGGGUCACUCAGGGAGUGUCAUCCAUGCAGACCAUGGCAGGCCUGGCUCCUCCCAGAACCAGCCCUACUCUAGGAGGAUAAGCCUCUGGAGCCCAGGCGUUCCCUCUCUGAGGGCUGUAUCUCAGCCCACUGGACUGGAGAAGGCUACCAGGUCCUUGUGGUGCAGGGACCAGUGUCCACUCAGCUCCCCACACUGGGGAAAUAAAGCCGUUUGAGAGGA